rfam:Pteropus alecto contig27872, whole genome shotgun sequence.
GGCUCUAUAGUGUAGUGGUUAGCACAUCUGCUUUACUCUCAGAAGGUUCUGGGUUCACGCCCCAGGUGGAGCCA